GUCCAGACUCCUACGGGAGGCAGCAGUGGGGGAUAUUGCACAAUGGGGGAAACCCUGAUGCAGCGACGCCGCGUGGGCGAAGAAGUAUUUCGGUAUGUAAAGCCCUAUCAGCAGGGAAGAAGAAAUGACGGUACCUGAGUAAGAAGCACCGGCUAAAUACGUGCCAGCAGCCGCGGUAAUACGUAUGGUGCAAGCGUUAUCCGGAUUUACUGGGUGUAAAGGGAGCGCAGGCGGCACGGCAAGCCUGAUGUGAAAGCCCGCGGCCCAACCGCGGGACUGCAUUGGGAACUGGCGCGCUGGAGUGCCGGAGGGGUAGGCGGAAUUCCUAGUGUAGCGGUGAAAUGCGUAGAUAUUAGGAGGAACACCAGUGGCGAAGGCGGCCUACUGGACGGUGACUGGCGCUGAGGCUCGAAAGCGUGGGGAGCAAACAGGACUAGAUACCCCGGUAA
rnacentral:rRNA from 1 species